rnacentral:rRNA from 1 species
UACGUAGGGUGCGAGCGUUGUCCGGAUUUAUUGGGCGUAAAGAGCUCGUAGGCGGUUUGUCGCGUCGGCCGUGAAAUCUCCACGCUUAACGUGGAGCGUGCGGUCGAUACGGGCAGACUUGGAGUUCGGUAGGGGAGACUGGAAUUCCUGGUGUAGCGGUGAAAUGCGCAGACUAUCAGGAGGAACACCGGUGGCGAAGGCGGUCUGCUGGGCAGUGAGCUGACACUGAGGCGCGGACAGCGUGGGGAGCAAACAGG